CGGUUGAUCCUGCCAGAGGUCACUGCUAUCGGUGUUCGACUAAGCCAUGCAAGUUAUAUGUUCUUCGUGAACAUGGCGAACUGCUCAGUAACACGUGGAUAACCUGCCCUUGGGACCGGCAUAACCCCGGGAAACUGGGGAUAAUUCCGGAUAUGCCAUGAUAGCUGGAAUGCUUCGUGGUUCAAAAGGAUUCGUCUGCCCAAGGAUGGGUCUGCGGCCUAUCAGGUAGUAGCGGGUGCAAGGUACCUGCUAGCCGACGACGGGUACGGGUUGUGAGAGCAAGAGCCCGGAGAUGGAUUCUGAGACAUGAAUCCAGGCCCUACGGGGCGCAGCAGGCGCGAAAACUUUACAAUGCGGGAAACCGCGAUAAGGGGACACCGAGUGCCAGCAUACAAUGCUGGCUGUCCGCAUGUGUAAACGGCAUGCGUUAGCAAGGGCCGGGCAAGACCGGUGCCAGCCGCCGCGGUAACACCGGCGGCCCGAGUGGUGAUCACUAUUAUUGGGUCUAAAGGGUCCGUAGCCGGUUUGA
rnacentral:rRNA from 1 species